GAUCAUGGCUCAGGAUGAACGCUAGCUACAGGCUUAACACAUGCAAGUCGAGGGGAAACGAUAGAGAAAGCUUGCUUUUUCUAGGCGUCGACCGGCGCACGGGUGAGUAACGCGUAUCCAACCUGCCCACCACUUGGGGAUAACCUUGCGAAAGUAAGACUAAUACCCAAUGACGUCUCUAGAAGACAUCUGAAAGAGAUUAAAGAUUUAUCGGUGAUGGAUGGGGGAUGCGUCUGAUUAGCUUGUUGGCGGGGUAACGGCCCACCAAGGCGACGAUCAGUAGGGGUUCUGAGAGGAAGGUCCCCCACAUUGGAACUGAGACACGGUCCAAACUCCUACGGGAGGCAGCAGUGAGGAAUAUUGGUCAAUGGGCGAGAGCCUGAACCAGCCAAGUAGCGUGCAGGACGACGGCCCUAUGGGUUGUAAACUGCUUUUAUAAGGGAAUAAAGUGAGUCUCGUGAGACUUUUUGCAUGUACCUUAUGAAUAAGGACCGGCUAAUUCCGUG
rnacentral:rRNA from 1 species